UACAGAGGUCCCAAGCGUUGUUCGGAUUUACUGGGCGUAAAGGGUGCGUAGGUGGUUGGGUAAGUUUGAUGUGAAAUCUCCGGGCUUAACCCGGAAAAUGCAUUGAAUACUAUCCAGCUUGAGGAUUGGAGGGGGGACUGGAAUGCUCGGUGUAGCAGUGAAAUGCGUAGAUAUCGAGCGGAACACCUGUGGCGAAAGCGGCUCACUGGACCACAACUGACGCUGAGGCGCGAAAGCUAGGGGAGCAAACAGG
rnacentral:rRNA from 1 species